UGAAUAAUGGAUGAAUGGCACA
rnacentral:miRNA from 1 species